rnacentral:rRNA from 1 species
AUUGAACGCUGGCGGCAGGCCUAACACAUGCAAGUCGAACGGUAACAGGAAGAAGCUUGCUUCUUUGCUGACGAGUGGCGGACGGGUGAGUAAUGUCUGGGAAACUGCCUGAUGGAGGGGGAUAACUACUGGAAACGGUAGCUAAUACCGCAUAACGUCGCAAGACCAAAGAGGGGGACCUUCGGGCCUCUUGCCAUCGGAUGUGCCCAGAUGGGAUUAGCUAGUAGGUGGGGUAACGGCUCACCUAGGCGACGAUCCCUAGCUGGUCUGAGAGGAUGACCAGCCCCACUGGAACUGAGACACGGUCCAGACUCCUACGGGAGGCAGCAGUGGGGAAUAUUGCACAAUGGGCGCAAGCCUGAUGCAGCUAUGCCGCGUGUAUGAAGAAGGCCUUCGGGUUGUAAAGUACUUUCAGCGGGGAGGAAGGGAGUAAAGUUAAUACCUUUACUCAUUGACGUUACCCGCAGAAGAAGCACCGGCUAACUCCGUG